rnacentral:rRNA from 1 species
UACGUAGGUGGCAAGCGUUGUCCGGAUUUACUGGGCGUAAAGAGCGCGCAGGCGGUUGUUUAAGUCGAAUGUGAAAGCCCCCGGCUCAACUGGGGAGGGUCAUUCGAUACUGAUCGACUUGAAGGCAGGAGAGGGAAGUGGAAUUCCGGGUGUAGUGGUGAAAUCCGUAGAUCUACGAAGGAACGCCAAAAGCGAAGGCAGCUCUCUGGGUCCCUACCGACGCUGGGGUGCGAAAGCAUGGGGAGCGAACAGG